UAGAGUUUGAUCCUGGCUCAGGAUGCAUUCUAGCUACAGGCUUAACACAUGCAAGUCGAGGGGCAGCAUGGCCUAUCUUUCGGGAUGGGCCGAUGGCGACCGGCGCACGGGUGAGUAACGCGUAUCCAACCUUCCCUUUACUGGGGUCCAGCCCGUCGAAAGGCGGAUUAAUCCCCCAUGCUCUCCGUCCCGGACAUCUGUGUCGGAGCAAAGAUUUAUCGGUAAAGGAUGGGGAUGCGUCCGAUUAGCUUGUUGGCGGGGUAACGGCCCACCUAGUCUACGAUGGAUAGGGGUUCUGAGAGGAAGGUCCCCCACAUUGGAACUGAGACACGGUCCAAACUCCUACGGGAGGCAGCAGUGAGGAAUAUUGGUCAAUGGGCGCGAGUCUGAACCAGCCAAGUAGCGUGAAGGAUGGCUGCCCUACGGGUUGUAAACUUCUUUUAUAAAGGAAUAAAGUGAGGCACGUGUGCCUUUUUGUAUGUACUUUAUGAAUAAGGAUCGGCUAACUCCGUGCCAGCAGCCGCGGUAAUACGGAGGAUCCGAGCGUUAUCCGGAUUUAUUGGGUUUAAAGGGAGCGUAGAUGGGUUGUUAAGUCAGUUGUGAAAGUUUGCGGCUCAACCGUAAAAUUGCAAUUGAUACUGGCGGCCUUGAGUACCGUUGAGGUAGGCGGAAUUCGUGGUGUAGCCGGUGAAAUGCUUGGAUAUCACCAAAAACCUCCGAUUGCGAAGGCAGCCUACUAAACUGCCCACUGACAUGAUGGCUCGAAAGUGUGGGUAUCAAACAGGAUUAGAUACCCUGGUAGUCCACACGGUAAACGAUGAAUACUCGCUGUUUGCGAUAUACAGCAAGCGGCCAAGCGAAAGCGUUAAGUAUUCCACCUGGGGAGUACGCCGGCAACGGUGAAACUCAAAGGAAUUGACGGGGGCCCGCACAAGCGGAGGAACAUGUGGUUUAAUUCGAUGAUACGCGAGGAACCUUACCCGGGCUUGAAUUGCACUCGGAUAUAGCGGAAACGUUAUAGCUAGCAAUAGCGAGUGUGAAGGUGCUGCAUGGUUGUCGUCAGCUCGUGCCGUGAGGUGUCGGCUUAAGUGCCAUAACGAGCGCAACCCUUGUCUAUAGUUACUAACAGGUCAUGCUGAGGACUCUAUGGAGACUGCCAUCGUAAGAUGUGAGGAAGGUGGGGAUGACGUCAAAUCAGCACGGCCCUUACGUCCGGGGCCACACACGUGUUACAAUGGGGGGUACAGAGGGCCGCUACCACGCAAGUGGAUGCCAAUCCCGAAAGCCUCUCUCAGUUCGGACUGGAGUCUGCAACCCGACUCCACGAAGCUGGAUUCGCUAGUAAUCGCGCAUCAGCCAUGGCGCGGUGAAUACGUUCCCGGGCCUUGUACACACCGCCCGUCA
rnacentral:rRNA from 1 species